UAACUUAGUGGCGGACGGGUGAGUAACACGUGAGCAACCUGCCUAUCAGAGGGGGAUAACGUUCUGAAAAGAACGCUAAUACCGCAUGAAGUACGAAAGGGACAUCCCAUUUGUACCAAAGGAGCAAUCCGCUGAUAGAUGGGCUCGCGUCCGAUUAGGUAGUUGGUAGGGUAACGGCCUACCAAGCCGACGAUCGGUAGCCGGACUGAGAGGUUGAACGGCCACAUUGGGACUGAGACACGGUCCAGACUCCUACGGGAGGCAGCAUG
rnacentral:rRNA from 1 species